rnacentral:rRNA from 1 species
GAUGAACGCUGGCGGCGUGCCUAAUACAUGCAAGUCGAGCGAACGGACGAGAAGCUUGCUUCUCUGAUGUUAGCGGCGGACGGGUGAGUAACACGUGGAUAACCUACCUAUAAGACUGGGAUAACUUCGGGAAACCGGAGCUAAUACCGGAUAAUAUUUUGAACCGCAUGGUUCAAAAGUGAAAGACGGUCUUGCUGUCACUUAUAGAUGGAUCCGCGCUGCAUUAGCUAGUUGGUAAGGUAACGGCUUACCAAGGCAACGAUUCAUAGCCGACCUGAGAGGGUGAUCGUCCACACUGGAACUGAGACACGGUCCAGACUCCUACGGGAGCCAGCAGUAGGGAAUCUUCCGCAAUGGGCGAAAGCCUGACGGUGCAACGUCGCGUGAGUGAUGAAAGUCUUCGGGUCGUAAAACUCUGUUAUUAGGGAAGAACAUAUGUGUAAGUAACUAUGCACAUCUUGACGGUACCUAAUCAGAAAGCCACGGCUAACUACGUG